UUUUUCCAAAAAUUACUUGGCGACAACUUCCACAGCCAAUUUUAAGAAACAAUAAAAAAACUAAUGUCAUUUAUGAUUAGUAUAAAAGUGUCAUUUGUGUGAUUAUACGUGAUAACAAAGCGUAAAAUAUGAAACUAUGCAGUGUUUUGAAAUGUCUAAACACUAAAAUUAUUAAACGCCAUCGUUUUCCCAACCCCUACAAAUACAACGAGCGUUUUAAAAUUUGGUUGGAACGGACAGGAAAUCCAAAUUUAGGCAAAUUAGAUCCCACGAAAAUAUAUAAAAAUGGAUAUUUUCUUUGCGAUGUACAUUUUAAAGAAACGGAUUUUGGCCCCAAUCAAAAACUUAAAAAUACUGCCAUUCCUACAAUUCAAAUUAUGCAUGAUAAUAUGAACGACCCCGAAAGACACACCCAUGAUCCCGUAAACCCUAUUUCUAUACUGGAUUCUCAAAAAUUUUGUACUGAAGUAUCUCGAAAUUCCAGAGAAACCCUAAACGAAACUUUAAACCAAGAAUCUUCUCGAAUACUAAAUUUACAUUCAAAUUCUAGGAAUAUUUCGCGUACAGCCCGUAGAAACAAAAUUAAGGUAGCUUCGUAUCGCCAACGAUUGAAAUUAUACUCCAAAUUUGAAGUAAAAUUAGAAAGCAAAAUUUUAAGUCAGGAUGCUAUAAAUUUUUGUUUAUCACAAUUAAAAAGACGAAAUGUCAAACCAAAGGGUCGCAGGUUUACCACUGAAGAUAAAUUAUUUGCAUUAAUGUUUUAUAAACAGUCUGGGAGAUGUUAUAGAAAAAUGAGACAGAUUUUUGCACUGCCUUCACGUCAAACAAUUAUGUCUAUGUUGAACAAAAUUCCAGUAGACGUUGGUAUAAACAAAAUAAUUUUCGACAAUCUUAAAGAAUCUGCUUCAAAAUUAAAUAACCAAGAUAGAAUAUGUGCAUUAAUUUUUGAUGAAAUGUCCAUAAUGCCCCACAUAGACUAUGACAAAUAUACGGAUACAUUUUUCGGAUUUCAAAAUUUUGGAUUUGAACAAAAUUUACAGAUAGCAGAUCAUGUUCUUGUUUUUUUCAUUCGCGGAGUGUUUAAAAAAUGGCAACAGCCAAUAUACUUUGCAUUUUCUUUUUCGUCUACAAAAUCUUACAUAUUGACAACUAUUAUAAAAACUCUGGUUGAAAAAAUACAAAAUUGUGGAUUCAAAAUUCUGGUUACAAUUUGUGAUCAAGGCCAACCAAACCAAGCAGCUAUAAAUUCUCUGCUAAAGGAGUCGAAACAACGUUAUAUACAUAAAGGGAUGGAACCUAAAAGAAGAAUUUUAUUAGGGGAUCAAGAAAUUAUUCCCUUAUAUGACACGCCUCAUUUAAUUAAAUGUAUUAGGAACAAUCUGCUUACUAAAAAUUUAGUGUGGAAAACAAGCGAGGAAAUUUUGGUUGCAAAUUGGAAACAUAUAAUCGAUGCGUACUACAGUGAUCAAACAUGUGGAGAAUUACGGGCUCUACACAAAAUUACGGAUCUCCAUGUAAUUCCGGAAAAAAUUCAAAAGAUGAAGGUGUGCUAUGCGACACAAGUUUUGAGUCACUCAAUGGCAUCGACUAUUACGCUAUUGGUUAAAUCUACCGAAUGCAGUUUAACACACGAGGCAAUGGGAACAGCACGAAUUAUAAAAUUUUUUGACAAGCUCUUCGACAGUGUAAAUGGCAGUACUUUUCAACCACGGUGCGGAAAACCAUUUUCUGGGGGCGUAUUUAAAUCUUCUGGUCAUAAACAUUUUUGGAAGGAAGUUAUCAAAAUUUUG